AGCUUUGCGCAGUGGCAGUAUCGUAGCCAAUGAGGUUUAUCCGAGGCGCGAUUACUGCUAAUUGAAAUUAUCUUCAUUCAAUCAAAUGAAUUACUAGCUAUGUUUGCAGUAGUGGAUGUAGAAUUCACCAGUAACAUGG
ensembl:snRNA U4 U4 spliceosomal RNA